rnacentral:rRNA from 1 species
AAUGAACGUUGGCGGCGUGGAUUAGGCAUGCAAGUCGAGCGGAAAGGCCCGCAAGGGCACUCGAGCGGCGUAAGGGACAGUAAUGUGUAGGUAACGUACCCCUGGGUCUAGGAUAGCUGCGGGAAACUGCAAUUAAUACUAGAUAACGUCUCCGGACCAAAGGUGUGACUCCACCUGGGGAGAGGCCUACAUCCUAUUAGCUAGUUGGCGAGGUAAUGGCUCACCAAGGCGAAGAUGGGUAGCAGGUGUGAGAGCACGACCUGCGUCACUGGGACUGAGACACUGCCCAGACACCUACGGGUGGCUGCAGUCGAGAAUCUUCGGCAAUGGGCGAAAGCCUGACCGAGCGACGCCGCGUGUGGGAUGAAGGCCUUCGGGUUGUAAACCACUGUCGGAGGGGAUGAAGUGUUAGUGGGUUCUCCCAUUAACUUGACUGAUCCUCGGAGGAAGGGUGGGCUAAGUUCGUGCCAGCAGCCGCAGUAAAAC